rnacentral:rRNA from 1 species
CAGUGAGGAAUAUUGGUCAAUGGGCGCAAGCCUGAACCAGCCAUGCCGCGUGCAGGAUUAAGGCCCUAUGGGUUGUAAACUGCUUUUGUACGGGAAGAAACACCGAUUCGUGAAUCGGCUUGACGGUACCGUAAGAAUAAGGAUCGGCUAACUCCGUGCCAGCAGCCGCGGUAAUACGGAGGAUCCAAGCGUUAUCCGGAAUCAUUGGGUUUAAAGGGUCCGUAGGCGGGCCUGUAAGUCAGUGGUGAAAUCUUUCGGCUCAACCGGAAAAUUGCCAUUGAUACUGCAGGCCUUGAAUUAUUGGGAAGUAACUAGAAUAUGUAGUGUAGCGGUGAAAUGCUUAGAUAUUACAUGGAAUACCGAUUGCGAAGGCAGGUUACUACCAAUACAUUGACGCUGAUGGACGAAAGCGUGGGGAGCGAACAGGAUUAGA